rnacentral:rRNA from 1 species
AAUAGAUACCCGGGUAGUCCACGCCGUAAACGAUGAGUGCUAAGUGUUAGAGGGUUUCCGCCCUUUAGUGCUGCAGCUAACGCAUUAAGCACUCCGCCUGGGGAGUACGGCCGCAAGGCUGAAACUCAAAGGAAUUGACGGGGGCCCGCACAAGCGGUGGAGCAUGUGGUUUAAUUCGAAGCAACGCGAAGAACCUUACCAGGUCUUGACAUCCUCUGACAACCCUAGAGAUAGGGCUUUCCCCUUCGGGGGACAGAGUGACAGGUGGUGCAUGGUUGUCGUCAGCUCGUGUCGUGAGAUGUUGGGUUAAGUCCCGCAACGAGCGCAACCCUUGAUCUUAGUUGCCAGCAUUCAGUUGGGCACUCUAAGGUGACUGCCGGUGACAAACCGGAGGAAGUGGGGAUGACGUCAAAUCAUCAUGCCCCUUAUGACCCGGGCUACACACGUGCUACAAUGGAUGGUACAAAGGGCUGCAAACCUGCGAAGGUAAGCGAAUCCCAUAAAGCCAUUCUCAGUUCGGAUUGCAGG